AAAAACUUUUUUGGAAUUGUUGCAUUUUAUCACCAUAUCAGAACAUAAAAAUGUAUUUAUGGUAUUUGUCUAAAUUAAAUUGGUCCUGUUAUAUCGUAAAGUAAAAGGUAAUGUUGUUUCUAAAAACCGUUAAAUGUAGGUAAACCCUUCAAAAAUAGUUCUAGGAGAAUUUCUCUUAUUCCAUGAUUCGAAAUAUAAUAGGUGGGUAACGAUUUUUUUUUUUGUUUUUUUUUUGUUUUUCUGGGAUUUUAACACUCUCGUGUUAUUCAUCCCCUAUCCUCCGUGUCAAGUGAAGUACUGGUUGCCAGUUAUAUUUGUGAUAUCAGACUGCUCUUUUUCAGGAAAUCCAAAACUUUCUUUUCUUCGUCCGGGCAAUUUGAUAGAAGCUGUCUCAGGUUAAUUCCAAUUUUGGUUUCUAUACGGGCUUGAUGGUAUAUUGGGCAAGAUAAUAAUAUGUGUUUUAUACUUUGGGCUACACAUAAGGUAGGAUCUUUUUUGUCCAUCAAAUACUCGUGGGUCAGUCUGGUGUGUCCAAUGCGAAGGCGCGUAAAUAACCGUCUUUCGUGAAACGGUAAACGGUCAGUCCAAGUUUCGGUGGAAUUCUUAAUUUCUCUCAACUUGUUGUUGGUGAUAUUGUUCCAUUCCUGAGACCAAUAUUGGCUGAUGUACCGUUUUAACCAUUUUACAGCAUCUGUAGAAGGAACGGCCUGUUCUGGAGGAUCCAGUCGCCCACCAGCUACAGCAAGUUGGUCUGCUUUCUCGUUGCCUGGGAUCUGUGAGUGUCCGGGAAUCCAACACAAAGUACCAUCAUGUCACCAUCUACCGCCCAGUUAAGCGGUUUUUCAACUUCAAACAUGUAUAACAAAAAAACGACGGCAGAUUUUUAUUCGCUUCCUUUUGCAAUACAUCUCAAAACUGCUCUAGUUUCAUUAAAAAAUUUAGUGGAAUGCGAAAAAUGUACGCUUUUCAUAAUAAUUAACUAAACUUAGGGGUGUUCCACUGGCCCUAUUACCGCCCACUUAACUUUUUCGGGUAUCGAUAAUGUUUUCUCAAGGAAAAACUAUCUAACAACACGGAAACUGUUCUUUUUAGUAUUUUCCAUGUAGCGAGCUGUCAAAACCAUAUUUUGGAACUUGAGAGAAUACAUUUUGAGAAAUUUUCCCCGCAAAUUUUGUACAAAUUUUAACAAAGUGCAUUGACUGACAAAAUGAUGAUUCCCGGCAAACAGCCUCAAGUAACCGGUUGCUUUCAGCGAUAAAACAUCAUUUUCUAACAUAAUCCAACUAAAUGCAUCUUACAAUUUACACAUUUGACACAAUACUUGCGUUAAAAAAAAGAAAUUGUGCGUGACCGGUCAUUAGGAACCCACACUUUUUUUAUACACCAAUUACCGCCCAUCACUAAACGCUUCAAGAAACAACAACUAUUGAAAGCUUCGAAAAUUUCCCGAUGCAAAUCUGUUCUACGAAAAUAAAACUAUCAUUUCAAGUCGAUUUUAGGUCAAAUAGGGACUAUCUAGUAAAUAAAAAUCCUCUUUGCCCUAGAAGUACAGUAAUGCUUAGUUCGCUAACAGGCGUCGAAUUCAACAAUUUGACCGGAAACCAAAAACCAAACAUUUUAUUCCUGGCUAUAGUUAGCAUAAUUAAGUGAUGUUUUUUCAAUGAAAUGGUCGAACAAUGAUGCCGACACAGAACACAGGUCUUAUUUUUGGAGAAAACAUCCCAGUUUUUUUCAAAAUACAAACAAAAGUGUGAUUUUGGGCGGUAAAUGGUGUCUGGGCGGUGAAUGGUGACUUGAUGGUAAUACCUUUCUGAACGGCAAUUUUGGAAAGUUCGGCUAUCCAGGGAUGUUUGGUAUUUCCAGCUGCGAUUGCAUUCAACACACUGACCGAAUCUGAGAAUAUCACAGAGCCUGGGGGACAUACACUUUGAGCCGCUGAUAGUAUGGCAUAAGCUUCGGAGCUGAAGACCGAGCAAAUACCGGGAAGCGAGAGUGAAAUGUUGAUGUUCUCACUGUGAAUGCCACAGCCAACACGGCCGUCAGAAGUUUUCGAUCCGUCGGUGUAGAAUUUGGGGAUGCCUCUGUAUUUUGUGAUAAUAAGGUGGUAGAAUUGUGGCAGCGCUAUCGAUGGGUUCACCCCCGCUUUCAGUUUUGAGAUUAGAGAAAGGUCGGUUUUAGGAAUUGGCAGAUUCCAUUUGUGCAAUCUGGGUUCUGUGCGAGAGCUGAUAGGUGGAAUUGUAGUUUGUAUGUCGCUCAAUAGUUUUACAGCUCGUAAAACCAGUGGGGCUUCCGUACAGCGGUCAAAUGAGAGCCAUCUGAUUGCCUUAGUUGAGAUAUUCUUGGCUAAUAUAAACACAGAAAAAAAUAAUGAAUAUCACGUGUACUUGAAAAUGGUUGCACGUAAAAUAAUAGAACCUGUAAAAUAAUAAACCUGUAAUUUUGAAAGUAUUUGACUGAAAGCUAAAAUUAAUUAUUCAAUAUUACAGUAGAUGUCCUGUAACAAAAAGGAGCAUGACAUUUGCUGUAAUUUUACAGGCCAUUCAAUUUAAUUUUAAUUGAGCAUGUCUUUUAAAGGCUUAGGGAGUUUGAUAAGCCCAAAUUUGAAGUCAUUUAAACAAAAAAAAGGUGUAUGCGUGAGCAACCAUGCCCAUAGAUGUGAUGCAUCGACUAGGUAGGUAAGGGUAGGUAUAUAUUACAGUUUAAAAAAUGCUAAACAAGAUUGGUGUUUUUAGGUGGUGAAUAUACAAUUCCAGCCGUUUCCAUAAUUUUAUGUUUAGCACGGACUCGAACCUCGAUUAUUCUGUCAGAUAAUCGUGUUUUGUUUUGUUUCCGCAAAAUUCAAACGCGGAGUGGAAGAUAUCUUGCUGUUUUUUUUUGUUUAUGCUUGUCCCGCUGGGGGACGACUGAAUUCUGCUAUUUCUACUCGGUAAGUACCACAUUUUUAUGAAAACAGAAAUCCAAUUUGAAACAAAACUUCAUUUUCAGCCAGAUGCAUAGAAAAAUUUGCCUCCACGGUCGAAGGCUAGAAGAAUGGAACCAGCAGCUGACAUGGAGCGGAUUCUUGAGCUGAAAAUCCGGAUAUUUGCGUUGCCGGGUGGAAAAUGUUGAUGCCUCUUUCCGAGAGAUCAAUUCGUUCCGGUGCAUUUCUCUUGAAUCAGCAAUCGAGAACAAUUGUCACAACUGGAACUCGGGCCUAAAAUUCUUAACUGCGAAGCGGCAUGGAACGGAUCGGAAAGGAUUUAUCUACAGUAAAAAGGCACCUGGUGAGUUUUGUUUAGUUUCAUUAUAUGUAAACAUUUUGUUUUUAUUUCAGAUAUUUCUGUUUCUGUUUUAAUCCUUUAGUCUUCCUGAUGGUGCCGCUCUGCUCGGUUUUCGUCAGGUUAUCAUAAUCUCGAAAUAACCAAGAUCCAAAGAAAGACUCAGAUUUAAUGGAUAGAAUGACCGGCCGUGGCAGGUCUCAAGGCGAGGAAACCGAACUGGCGAGCCACUGUGUCUUAAAAAACGGAAGGCGAUUACAACACUAACCUCACUGGAGAAAUCCAAACGCUCCCAGUUGGAAUUGAGUCGUCGAAGGAAAUUGAUUCCACAAAAGCACUAUGUAUUCGUUGCAGAAGCAGAGUAUUUUAUAAUCAGUCUUGCAACAAGUUAUUGCAAGCCUCCAACUGAUGUGCUGAUACCUACUUCAAAUUGCUGUCAGCUAGAAAUACGUACCUAUAGGAACUGUGAGUAAUAUUGUUAGAUGUAUUAUUACCAUUAUUUGCUAGUUUUGCAAUACUUUGCAUCGUUUGUAAUAAUGGAAAAUUAAUAUGGUUAGAAAUGCAAAAAAAGUUCUUCCUGCUUAGGAAUGAUAAGUGCAAGUUUUAUAGGCAAAUUGUGUUUUUUUAUCUUGUCUUAGAACAUCGAUAGUAUUAAAAACAUUAAUCAGACAAAUUGAAUCAGUUAUUAGUGACAUUUUUCUUCUUCUCUUGAUUAAGACUGGAAAUACUAGAUACUAAAGAAGAACCUCACAUAAUGACCGGCUGAAGCAGACAUAAUUUACACAAGGCUUGAAUUCGUUAGCAAUGAGCAAAGGUUUGGAGUUAAUUGAAUGGAAAAAAAUAAGCAUAAAAUGGCAGAACUUUUCCCUUUAUUUACAAAGAAAUAACCUAGAAACUAACGGAUGAAUUCAAAAUGACUUCAAAUUGUAGUGAUUUAAAAAAAAAAUGCUGAAAUUUAGACAAACAAUGUCCGGAUAUAUUCGACUAUUCUGCUACAAUUUUAGUAAUAAAAAUUGUUGUGUGAGGUUAUUAAAACCAUUAAAACAUAAUUAAAAAAUUGUUCAUUGAUGUACAUAUUGAGGUUAAUGUAAUAAAUAAAUAAUGUAUAUACGCAAUUUGUUUCAUUCAAUGAUUAAAUUCCACUCUAUUAUAGUGAAUCGAAACGAUUAAAUAACGCCCAGGUGGUUUUACUGGUCGUUUGAAAUUACAGGACGUUUGCAAUUACAGGUCGCUUGCAAUUACAGAUCGCUUGCAAUUACAGGUCGCUUGCAAUUACAGGCCUGUAAUUUUGAACUAGCCUGUGAAUUGCCAUGUCCUCGACCUGUAAAAUUACUGUAAAUGUCCUGCUCCUUUUUGUUACAGGACAUUUACUGUAAUUCUACAGAAAAUAAUUUUUGCUGUGAACUUAAAUGGCAGUUGGCCGCUUUCAGCCAUAAGAGAUGUUAUUGGACUGCUUCUGAAUGCUCCACUAAUGGUGCGGAUUGCUUGGUUGUAUGCAGGUUGUAGUUUCUUUAGGGUAUAAUCAUAACCACGGCCAAACAGACCGAUGCCAUGAAGCAUCGUGGGUAGCAGCCAGCCAUGGAGGAAUAGUAGUAGUGAUGAACGGGAUCCUGCCCCGUUGGGGGUACAUAGUUUCUUCAAUAUGUUGAGUUUAUUGUUUGCUAUCUUUCGGACCCGGUUGAUGUGAUUGGUCAUCAAUCCACACUCCAAGUAUUCGGGCGGUCCGGACUAGAGGUAUAGUUUUGUUUUGCAGGGUAAGCGGGGGAAUUGUCUUUUUCUGUUGGGUCCAAAGUGCAGCAAUUUGGAUUUGUCAGGGGCGAAGGUGAAUCCAACUGAAGGCUCCCAAUCUUCCAGUUUGUUCACAGCGUGCUGUAAAUUCUUACGGGCGAGUCGAGAAUAAGGAGAUGUAGCUAGGAGAAUGAGGUCGUCAGCAUACGCCAGUGUUUCUAUUUGAUCACCUAGGUCUCGUUGUGGCUUGGGGGGUGGAUGUCUCUAGGAAGAUUGAGAUGGGAAAGUGGUCGCUUCCGUAGGUGUCAUCCAGCACUUUCCACCUAAUUUUUGAGCUCAAAUUCCCUGAAACAGUAGAGAGGUCUAAGGCUGAAGUGUUUCCGGUUGAGGGACAGACUCGGGUGGGCAGUGAGUCAUUAAGGAUAAUGAAGUUUUGGUUAUCUACGAAACUUUCAAUGAAAGAUCCUUUUCUGUCGGUUUGUGUUGCACCCCAUGAUGUGGAAUGCGCAUUGAAGUCACCCAUGAUUAAAACUGGUUCUGGGAGUUGGGUUAUGAUAUUUUCUAAUUCCUCGCAAAACUCUGCGAAUGGCUGUUUUGGGGAAAUGUAGGCGGAGACUAUGGUGAUUUCGACGGGAGAUUUUAGACGGACUGCCACUAUAUUGAGAGUAGAACUGAUCCCUAGGGGAGUAUAAGGGAAUCCAAUUUUUACGGCUAGCCCGGUGCCUUGCAGGCCCGGAUGAUGAUGGAGAUGUAGAUGGUAGCCUUUAAUAACAUCUUUUGGGAUAAGAUGUGGUUGAGCCAUAGUUUCUUGGAGGGCAAAAACAAUCGGAGAGUAAUGGGUGGAAAGGAUUUGCAGUUCGGAGGUACGUGCUCGUAGGCCGAGAAGAUUCCAUUGGAUAGCUAAGCAUUGUUUGUUUUUUCUGGUUGGUCUAUUGUUGUUGGAAGAGCUAUUGCUGUCAGGCAUGUUUAUGUUGUGGGUGUGGGAGUUCAUAUUGCACAUGUGUGGAGCCAUUAGGAGUGAUUUAUUGGAACGGAUUUACCGUUUUUUUUGUUGGUUGUAGGGACGAGUAUUCUGGGGGUUGGAAGGGCCUGAUUGGGGGUCUGAUUCGAAGCACGGUUUCUUAGGGGUUGAGUUGGGUUUGGUAGAUUGGUCAUUAUUAGUUUUGGGGCUGCGUCGGCCGCGCUUUGAUGCUUUUGAGUUGGCUUGGCUGCUGACUGUAAUAGUGGUGGUUCCCGAUUGAUCCGAGUUUUCCGUUUCAGAUGAAGAUUCCAAUUCCGGGCUCGCUAGAAGUAGUUGAAGUUGUGUGGUGAGUUGGGCUACUCGCUGUUCCAAUUCUUGUAUCCGAAGGUCUUUGGCGUUUUCCUGAUUUGAUGAUGUGGUAAGGCGUUGCUGAAUUUGGCUGAUGUUUUGAGCUGCUUUUUGGCGGUUUCGGAACUCUCUUACUGCUGCACCCUGGGAAAUCCCGGAAUCAAUUCGGAUUUUGACGAUUUCUUGUUCCUCCAGCUGGACGGGACAAGAGCGGCUCAUGGCAGAAUGACACCCAUCACAGUUAAGGCAAUGUGGAUCCUUGGUGCAUUCAGUAUGUGCGGGAGAUUCUCCACAAAUAAGACAUUUUUCUUUUUGUUGACAUCGUGUCUUCGAGUGCCCGAAUUUGCCGCAGUUCCUGCAAAAGAGAGGCCUCGGGUAGUAUGGUCGGGUAGGUAUGCGGAUGAAACCGAAGUAAAUAUAAUCCGGAGCGACAGUUCCACUUAUCGUCAGGACCAUAGAAUUCGUUGGCACUGAUUUUCCAUCCACUUUUUUGAUGAAAGGGUACACCUUGGUAACGCCUUGAUCCGCAAGAUUUUCCUGGAUCUCCUCGUCAGAAAGUCCAUGAACUUCUCUACAGGAUACCACUCGCUGGCAGGUGUUAAGUGAUGGGUGUGGCGCGAUGUUGAUUUUUGUUCCAUCAAUCAGUUCCGAAAGUUGUUGCAGUUGGUUGAAUUGGUCGAUGCUUCGAAUUUUCAAUAGAUAGGCCUCUCCGUUGUUGAUAGGGUUUGCCCCAUCAAUUCUACCGACGGCCCGGUCGAUGGACUUAGCAACAACAAAUGGAUUGUUUGGAAGUUUGUUGUUCUCUCCAGCUCGCAGUACAAGAAAUUGAAUAUCGCCAUGAAGUCCUUUUGGAUCCAUCCAAGACGGAAGCGUCCGUCUGAAAUUUUGUUUAGAAUUCUGGGUCCGGUUGGCCCAAGGUGGAUUAGGAUCCACCAUCCUUUUGGAAGAAUAUCCGAGAGUUGCCUCUAUUUGAAGUCACUUUCAAUUUUCACGUUGUGGGAACUAUCACCAGAAACAAGAUGUUGUUUGGAUGUCCGUGAUAGUGACACCAGGCAAGAAAAACACGUGUGCGGAGAGGAGCAAAAUUAAAAACCGUCCGAACCCGAUGACUAUCGCCGAGUGAAUGUGGUGGGUAACGAGGUUUUAAAAAUAACCAUUAGUUGAAAUGACAAAGAACCAACAUAACAAAACAACUUUUCUUCAGUUUUGCAUAUAAAUUUAUUUACACAUACAUAUCGAUUGAUCUAAAUACUCAUUCAUUAAAAAAAACUUAAGAUUUGGAUGUAAAUUUGAAAAUACAGAAUCUUAAAUUUCACCAUUCAAUCAUUUGUAGUCUUAAUUGGGAAUAUGAUCGAAUCUAAAACCUGAAAUCUGAAAGUGUUAAAUUCAAAUAUAAAAUCUGCAUUUGCAAUCUAGAUCCGAAUUUGAAUCUGAGAUUGAAAUAUGAAUCUGAAAUCUGAAUUUGAAUCUAGGACUCACUUAGUUUGAAGUUUGUCUCACAAAAUUAGCUGUUGCUUUGUCAAAUCUCAAUUUUCUCAUUUUUUUCCUACUCUCACUAAAAUAGCUGUAUCUCUCUUCCACGUGCACGCAAAAUGUUUGAAACUCAAUAAAUGAAAAGUUCAUACAUUUAUUUAACUUGUGUGAAAGUUUCAUGAAAAAAUGUCAAUUAUAAGAGAAAUGGCAGUCUGUCAAAGUUCGAUGUAAGUGCGCUGCUCUCUGCACUUUUUUGAACGCAACUGUAUAUAAAAAGAGAAGGAGAGAUGAUUUUGUAUGAGGGCUCUCCUUCCAUGAAAGUGAGAUUCUUGAAACUAUUAUACAAACCAUCUCGGAUACCAAAUUUCACUUCAUUCCAUGAUGGAGUUUCAAAGAAAUGGAGAAGUGAAGAAAAGUUAGAAAAAUAGAAGAAAAGUAAGGAAAAAGUGAAGAAAAGGAGGGAAAUAAGAACAAAAGGAAAAAGGAGUUGAU